UACGAAGGGGGCUAGCGUUGUUCGGAUUUACUGGGCGUAAAGCGCACGUAGGCGGAUCGUUAAGUCGGGGGUGAAAUCCUGGAGCUCAACUCCAGAAUUGCCUUCGAUACUGGCGAUCUUGAGUCCGGAAGAGGUGAGUGGAACUCCUAGUGUAGAGGUGGAAUUCGUAGAUAUUAGGAAGAACACCAGUGGCGAAGGCGGCUCACUGGUCCGGUACUGACGCUGAGGUGCGAAAGCGUGGGGAGCAAACAGG
rnacentral:rRNA from 1 species